rnacentral:lncRNA from 1 species
UGUGUUGAUGGCCAUGAUGGCAGAAUGUAAGUCUGAGAGAGAGCAUUCAUUGAGAGCAUGCUCUGUGUCAGCCAUUGUGGUGAAUACUGUAUAUCUCUAGUACCUUUUCAUCUUCACCUCAUGCCCAGGAGGGGCUACGCAGGGAUGAGCACAGUGAUCCGAAAACACAAGGUUUGGUGAGAGGCAAAGAUGGAGCUGGGCUCGAGCUUUGGUGGAAUUUGAAUAAGCAAAAGGGACAACAUAUGAUUUGUUUUAUUUGGUACCCAAAGGUCUGUGCAUUGAACUUCAGCUGUAAGGGAUUCAGUACUUUGAGUGUAUUACUGCAGCUAUGAAGAAGGAGCCCCAUAAUGAGGAGGAGCUGCUUCCACGGGAUCU